GUCCUGGGUCACGAAUUCGGUUUUCUCAGGAGCCGCGCAAAGACACAGAGCAGGUGACUGUAAAUGAAGUGCAACACAUGAAUGUAUUCCUCCUGAGAAAUGCAAUGAACUAUUUUUCCAUCGAUUGCAGUAAGAUUUCAUCAUACAGUGAAAUCAUUCUUCUGAUUCUUUCCAGCUUCAACAGUAAGUGACCUUGGAGAACCCUUGGAGAACCCCCAGCCAGCAGUGCCAGACCUUGGAUCAGGCCCAUGAGAAUGCAAUGCUGUGGAAAAUGAAUCACCUCCAUUUCUCCAGCAAGCUUCUUAACCUCCAAAUUCAGAAGUACAGCAAAGCUGACGACUGCACUGAGUAUUUGUUAAAGGCCAGCAGAAAGGAUCCCUGAGGAACAUCAUCUUCACAUGAAAUACGAAACAUCCGUUUUGUUAAGGUUAGAAGAUAAGGCAUAAUUAAAGAAACAGAAGGCUUGCGUGUUCUGACAAGGAGUGGCAGAAAUACUGAACCCUUCUUCUCUAACAGCAAUAGGAGGCUAAAAGGAGCUGCUCAUGUAUCUGAAGACAGCCCCUAGGCUCUACAAGUUUGCUAACUUCCCAGCCAACAAGUGAAUGUUUCUCUUCUCAGUUUUUAUCAUUCACUGCCUACUCCGGGUACAUCCUCUGUUAAUCCAGAAGCCUUAAGAGAAAGCAUCACUCUCCUCAACCCCCUGAUCAUGGAAAUCUAAGCUGUGUGUAUGGGUUUAUAUGUUGCAUUUAGGGGAACGUGUGUGACCCAGAGUUAUCAAGGGAUGCACUGAAUGUUGAUCUCAGAAGGCCCAGAUUAGCUUGAGGUCCCCUGGAUUUCCUCUGCUUCUCUCUACAACAGAAGGAGCAUAGGAUGAGAAGAUGUGGUGCUGGCGGCAAGAUAACAUAUAGCAAAGAGUUUCCAGGCUUCAGUCAACUGAGGACAGCCCAAAAAAUUAUGCUGUAUAUCAGUGGGGACAGAUCUGCUCUCCCGCUCUCAGAUGGAGAACAGAACUUUCCUUCUUUGAAAGAAUGCCAAAAGCUUUCCUAUUUAUGUCCAGCAUGAUCAGGCAUUAUUAUUAAUACAUCAUGACUACCUUGAGGCUCAUCUUAAACUGUACAAGGCAGUGCCCUGCAGAAGCAGUUCAGAAAUAGAAAUGAGAAGUGAAGAGCAUGACUAGCAGUACUUUGUACAAGGAACACACAGCCUGACCUUCAGGACUGGCUUUCCAGUGAGCCCUGACCCUACCAACAGAAGCUCAGCCAGCCUUGAACAUGCCCAGAAGCGUACCUGGGCUCACUUCUGGCAGAGCAUCAGUGGAGUCAGCUCCAUGAGCUGGCUCACAGCAUCUCUGCCUGUGACAGCAUGGGAGCAGGAGGAAGAUGGUGCUGUGCAUAGAUCCAGUGUUCCACUUUCUUGGAGAAGAGUUUUGAGAAAUGACAAUGCAUUUGCCCGCCUUGCUCCAGACUCUCCAGGUAGGAUGUGCUCACAAAAGAAUGAGUAUACCGUAGCAAGCCUAGGAAGUUAGGAAAGCAUCAACUCCAGACAUUGUUGGCCUGGAUUCUUUCUCCUGGCUGUUUUAUCCAUACCUGUUACUAUCUUCUUUGUCAAGGAAAAUGAAGGCAAUAUCACCUUCAGGCUGUAUGCAGCACAGUGGCAAUGAGAAAAUGCGAAGACAAUUGCUAACGUAAUUUGGUGAUCCCUGGAGAUCUGUGGAUUCAGCAUGCCUACUUCUGGACACACAGACCCUCAAAUCAACUCCAGAAGAGUGGGGCAUAGCUUAGAAGUACCCAGGUUCCAGCAGGAUUUUCAAUGAACCACAAGGUGGAAGCAGAAAAGCCUGAGAGGAUGGCAGCUGUCAGGACGAGAAAUGAGGCAACUGAACAGGGUGCUCAGUUGCAAAAAAGACAACAGCAGGAAAAAGGGGGCAUAUGUUUAAAAUACUGCCGUGGAGCUAAAGAUCGGAGUUGUAAGGAAAAGCAGGGAAAAUAACAAAAAGCUCAUCAACACCCACCUGCCAAGAGUGUCAAUAAAAAUGAUAGGAGCAAAGGCAAAGGAUUUUUUUUUUCUCUGCAGCAAGAAGCACAGAUGGGCAAAAGUAUAAAACAAAAGCCUGUAUGAGGUUUUCGUCUGUGCUGCAGUUCUCAAGAAUGAGUACACAAGAAAAAUGUUUACGUGAAUUACGUUAAAUGUGAGCAAACUCUGGAUUGGUAUUCAUGUAUAUUCUUAUCAUAAAGACAUCUUAAAGAUUUUUAAAUCCUGUUUGGUUGGUUCUGAUGGCGUAGUAAUGUAUAUGGUGAGUUGUAUUCGUGUAAAAUAGGAAUGGAAGUAUGAAGAAUGCUGAAGAGAUUUAUUUUAAACAUAUUUAUACUUGCCACAACUCCAUUAAAGGAGCUGGGUAAAACCAUGUCUAAGAUAUGCUUGUAGCAAGUUGGAUAAUUAAAAGGUAUUGCCAGUCACUAUCAAUUUGCUAGAAGGCAUUCACGUUUGCAAUAUACAAAUUUGUACUACUGUCAUUGUUGUAAUCCCAUUUGUGCAAAUAUUCAAUAAAUAAGACACAAAGUUUCUUCCAGCAUCCAGUCAUCAUGCUGCUGCUGAACCCUAUCCAUGUUUUCAGUAACUGAGAACAUGCUAUUUUUAAAGCUGAUUGAAAAAAAAAUUACAUGGCAGUUAUGACCAAGCCAUAUAAUAGUACCUGACUUCUGUAACUGCACUCUUAGAGCUUGGUUCUAUCAUUUAAGGAAGCGUCAUUCAGGGAAACAAUAUUCUGAAGAUAAUAAAAUCCCAGCAGGAUAAAGACUAUGAAUGGACCAUCUCUGCAGCCUCCAAAGUCAGGAAGAAUUGGUAAGUCUUUCCUGUCUUUGUGAAGUGCUCAGGAAAGCAGGACUCAACCCCUGGGUCAAUGCAUGAGCCUGGACUUGCAUCCUUACUGACUCAUUAGAGUCAGUAUGUGCACUGUAUAUCAUUAUAUAGAUGCUGGAGCAAACUAUUUGUUCAGUUUGUUCAGAUUUCUCAAGAGGAAUGAGCAGUUUUGAGGCUAGAAAGACAGCCAGGGGAGUGAUAGCUCAGGACUGAAGCAUGGAGUGAAUCAAACUGACACCAUAAAGCACAAAUAGGAACCCAAACUAAACAACAGAAGGAAAUAUCAAAAACUGUCUCUAUUCUGUUGUUGACAGGGUCAUUAGAAGUAGGCUAUAUCCUUUUUUUUUAGCUGUAGAUCACAUUCAACAUUCCGGUAUGUUUAAGCAUUGUAUGUUCAUUUCAGAAGAAGUGGUUCAAGUGAUCUGAAGUUGUCCCUUGAAGGCAGUUUGAGCUCUCUUUCAGUGCAGAAGUUUCCCUGAUAAUUUUCUUCCUUUUGUUUGUGAUUCUGUAGUGGUUGGCUUGGUCAGCACAUACUUGCUUCUUUCUUUGUCAUGUUGUUUUGUAAUGAACUCUUAUUUCAGCAUGAGGCCACUUCCCAUCCUGCUUUAUAACACAGGCAUGUGGUAAUUGGCUCCAGGAAGUAGACAAAACAUAUAUUUCCUUAUGGCACUAAUUAAUUAGUCAUAUGUACACUCAAUACUUAAUUGCUAUUGUACGCUCUGGCCCGUGUGACUUCUGUGAAAAUAUCGGACUGUACACUAAUUUCAAUUAGAAACUCAUGGAAAAGUGAAAAGUGCCUGUAGUUUCUAUGAGCAAGAGAAGCAAAAUUUCACUCAUCAUACUAAUAACACCCAGCACGUCAUUUCUUCUUUUUUUUUAAUCCUUUGCACUAUGCUCAAUACAUUUCUCUAAUGUAACCAAGCCUGGAAGCUUAAAGCAUCUGUGCUCUACUUAAAAAUGCUGAUAUGACAAAGAAAACCUCUUCCUCAGGACUGCUACUCCUCUUCUGCAGCAUAACAAGCGCUAGUCAACCACAAGUGCUACUAAGAAUGGCUACUUUUAGAGCUUCUUACCAAUAACAGGCAGAGGUUUUGCCCAUUAAGGGUUUAAUUUUCCAUCUUGCAACAGUGACAACCAUUUGGAGUUUUGCCCAUACACUCUGUGCUGAAUUUUUAGGUAUUUAUAACAUUUCUAUGAUACUUACUGCCAUAUUACCAAAGGCUCUCACGCUCAUUAAUCUCCAAUAUAAAUUGUUCCUUUGUUCAUUUCUUAGAUGACUUAUAUGAAGACCACAGCUUUUCAAGCAGAAAUUGAGAAUAAAUUAAAAAUUCUUAUUUUCUCAUUACUUUUCCCACUCUAAGUGUUCCUGAAAUAGCCAGUAUAAUUAGAACAAACAAAGAAAACCCACAGGGCUAAAUUUUGCCCUUAAAAAUAUAUAUGGGUAAGAGCAAAUUUGGAGAUACUGGAAAGAGUUCAGCACAGGGCUACCAAGAUGAUUAAGGGACUGAAAUAGCUCUUACAUGAAGGAGGGCUGAGAGAGUUGGGGCUCUUCAGCCUGGAGAAGAGUGGAGGAAGAUCUCAUAGGUGCAUACCUGAAGAGAGGGUGCAAAGAGGACAGGCUCUUUUCAGUGGUUCCCAGUGCAAGGACAAGAUGCAAUUGUCACAAAGUGAAGUACAAAAACUUUUCUCUGAACAUAAAAAAACAAGUGAGAGUGAAUGAGCACCAGCACAGACUGCUCAGAACAGUGGUGCAGUCUCUCUUUGGAGAUAUUCAAAAGCCCUCUGGACAUGAUCCUGGGCAAUCUGCUGCAGGUGGCCCUGCUUAAGCAAGGGGUUGGAUCAGACCUCAAGAGUUCCCUUCCAGUCUAAACCAUUCUGAGAACUUUAUGGGGCCCACAUCUAUAUCUACAAAGACAAAACACAGAUCAUUUUAUUUUAAAAUCAAGGUAAAAUAUUACAUAUCUUUCAAGUUACUGCACUAGCUGUCUCAGAUGUAUGACUGAAGACAAUUGUUAGAGCAAAGUUCUGAUAAUUUUUAAGUUAUUCAGUGCAACAGUCUUACUAACAAACUAGCAUUAAUCAAAAUCAUUGAGAUUCACUGGAUUUAUGAGUGGAAGCCUGGAUAAAGGAGCAGAAUAAUUAAUGAACACAAACUACAUCCACAUGUGAGAAUCUGAUAGACAAGAAGGAUGGAAAGAGCAAUGGUGGUCUCCAACCUCAAGUGUCCAUCUCUCUGAGGUCCCAGUCCUCCACUGCAAUGCAAACCUCAGAUUCUUAUGAAGCAGUUGCAAUCCUCAGUCUCUAACCCUGCAUACUAAACAAGCUUCUGCUCUUCUUUAUAUAUCCAAGUAUUUUUUUUAUAGCUUAGAAAGCUAAUAGUGAAGCAAAGGAGUAUCUAUGUAAUGAUGGCCAGCUGUAACGUAUGGUUGGAAAUCUACACAAUACUGGGUUAUAUAUAAGCCAAAGAAUAUAUACAGAGUAUCAUGAACUGUUUACAGCAAAAUCUGAUAUCUGGAAGACAGUAUUGCUUGAUCUGAGAAUUAGAAACUUGAAUCUAAAUUCAAGUUUAUAACUUGAAAUUUGAAUCAAAUCAGAAUUUGAUACAGUACACAAAUAUGUAGUGAUCAAAGUAAGAUUUUAUGCUAUUCUGUACCAUUGUACCACUGCAUAACAUGAAAAUUGGCAGUUCCCAGUGUUUCCUGAACCUGAAACUGCAAGCAUAACUCAGUGCUUGAGUAGCUCAAGCUAGACCUAACUCAUGACAGUCUUGUAUCUUGUCAUUUACACCUGUGCUAUGAGUAUCAAACGGAGCAUAGCAAGCUGCUAUUUUUCUCCUACUCCACACAGAGAUGUAAAUGAAUUCAGCAAAGUGAAGGCUUGUGAAGAUAGUGGUGUAAUCUCCAGAAAUAUGAGAGUCAGGAAUCUGAACUCCUGUACUGCUGCAGAAAAGAAAUUGUCUUAGAGAAGCAAAUCAGUGAGGAAGUGUAUAGAAGGGACCAUGAGAUUAGAAGCAGAAGAGUAGGACCACAAUCUAAAAACAGCUACAGCAAAAGUUCUGUAUGAGUCUGAGGACCAACAAACACGUGAGUGGAACGGUCCAUUUUCUCACCAGCAAUACAUGUCACAGACAUAGUUGUGGUAUCAUGUCUGAAAUGAACAUAGCCCAUAGCAUAUUUUCCAUAGAAAUUUGAAUGUAACAUUUCUGCUGCCUAGGAAAGAGAAAUUGAAAACACAUUUUGUAAAAGAACACUGGGAGUAUUAACACCUAAAGAAGACACAUCCCAGAGAAAUAUGUGUAGGAAAGCUGGAUAUCUGAAGUGCUGGAAGAGACUUAGUGAUAACCAUAAGUGAUACUGAUUUAAUUAAAAGUCUUUUAUCACCUUUUUGGUAAUUCUGCCUCUUUAUUGAUCCAAGAAGUAAAACCAAAGUUAAAUUUUAGAAGGUGAUGUGUCCUUAAGAAGUGAGCUGACAAGAAUUGAAAAGACCCUGGUUUCACUACAUUGAAAAAAAAUCCCAUUUGGAAUCUUAUUAUACAUCUCUGGCAACAGUGAUCCAAUACAUGAAAUACUCAGGCUGGUGACUGAUGCAAGUCUGGCAACAUCAUAUCAUAGGGUGUGAGGAUUUGAACUGGCAUAGAUUUAUUUAUUUAUUUAUUUAAGUUAACUAUAGAUCAUCUUUGAAGAUCCCUCUGUGCAUGCUUUUGUUUUGAUUUUUCAGUGGAUCUUGAAGGCAAUGGAUCUGCAGUGGCUGAGUAGCUGGGCCUCUGUGUAUACUUUUAUUGUUGUUACAUUGAAUGAACCAUAAUAAGAACACGGGGAGAUAUCUGCCAUUACACAAAGGAGAAAUUCAGUAGCUAGUUUCAGCUGAAAGGGGAGUAACUUUCCUAUGUGUCUAGGAAAACCUCCCUCCAAAAAAAAACAGACUACUCCUAUGUGCCUACUAACUUCUGUGGAACAGCCAGCUUUCAUAUUUCUUUUUGAACUUGAUCACUUAGAUUAUUGCUAAUUCUGAAGUUAAAUAAUAUCCACACUAUCAGACAAGAGCAGUACACCCUUAAUUUUAAAGGAGUUAAAAUUUCAUGAAUGAGAAAUGCAAUCCUCUUAACUGAGUAGAGAGAACCUGUUUUAUGUCAAAGGCUCUCCCGGUAGGACUCUAUCAGAGGUCUGACUCUCUCCUGUGGGCACAGACCAUGCAGAUCGCUUUCCAAAGACAUCUCUGUACAAGUAAGCAAAAUGUUCUCAGAGGGACAACAACCAUCUUCCCAAUCCUAGGAGAGCUGCUGCACAAGUAUAUCCUUAAAGUUCCUGUAUGGCAACAUUUCCAAGGGGCUAGAGAUCUGCUCAGGUUGUUAAUGCGUGCCUGAGGUGCUCAUCUUCUCAAAAUAUUCCUGCUUUGAGGGCAUUUCAGCUCUAACAUGAACAUUAGAAAUAUCCUCACAUUUACAGAGAUAAUCGUUAUAGCUUCUUAGGACUUAAAAUUGCAGCGACUCAGUGCAAAUUGGGAAAAAACAGUCUCUUUCUUGAGUCCACUUGCCUUGGGAUCUAAUUCAGAGUUGUUGUAAGGAAAGAAAGAUUAGGAAGCCCACUCCACACUGUUGCUGCAUUUCCUUACUCAGCACCUAAGUCUUGUUCUUGGCGGACACAGGUGAUGGAUGUUUUAAAGAGAAUUCCUUACUCUGCUGUGGAUGAGACAACAAGGAUCUGCUCUCCUUUAAAGUAAUAGUAUUUAACUCACUUGACAGACAUUUAUCUCCAGAUACUGUGAGGAUAACAGAGCAUCACCCUGAAGCCCUGUUUUGGAAAUUUUGGAAGGUUUACUGGUUUGUUUCCCCAAACUUUCAUGUUUCAUUAAAAUAAUACAACACUGCCUGCUGUUCUGGGCAAACUCUAUAUCUCUCUCCAUUGUUUCCCUACUGCAUCAGCUUCACAAUAAUUAUGUGCAGAGAUGCAAACUGAAAUUACUGUAGCAAAGGUGCAAAUUCAGCCCAGAAUGAAAAGGGGCAUCAUUUUCAAAAUCUAUAACUAGAUAUGCUUCAAUAUCAAAUGCUCAGCAGGCGGCCAAGAACUUCAAUAUUUAUUGAGCACAUUAUGCCUUCUCAUUACACAAAUAUGGCCCAGUGCUACAAUACAAACAUAUGCUUUUUACAAAAGAUUUCUGCUUAUAGUAUUUGAAAUGUUGCAUUAACAUUCAGUUUACCUUUGUAGCCAGAACAAAUGUAUUAAUUCAUGAAGCCUGAGGUCGCAAGUGAUCCUGUAUAUAAAAUAUUUGUAGCAAAAAAUAGAAUACUUUAAUAUUGACAUCUCAAGAACAGAUAAAUUGGCAGAAUAAAUGUUCCCAGAUGACCCGCUAACCUCUGCUGAUUGUGCCACUGAACCCUUGAAGAAGUAAUUAAAAUAAUUUGCAACAGCGGAGAAUGAAUAUGAAAUUCAUCUCCAUUGCAUGGUCAUUGAUCAGUAGUAAAGUACUUGCACUUGAAAAAGAAUUUCUAAAACAUGGCAAAAAUGACAAUUUUUGUAAUAUGAACCGUUUUUGUAGUAAGUUAAAUUGAUCGAUUAAUGUUACAUUUAUUAUUUUUGCACUUGUCUAGAUUUGACGAGGAAUUUACUGUAAGCUGACACAUCAUUUGCUUUUGGCAGACAUCAAUUACUCUCAUCAAUAUCCUAAAAAAGAAAAGAAAUUAUAACAGCAAGAAAUUAAAAGGAAGGUUACAUCAUUUUCAGUCCAAAUCGAAAUAUAUUACUGAUUUGCUUUCUGAUAUUGUUGCCUGUUUAUCUCAGAAUGUUGUGGGGUUUCUUGCUAUUGCGAUAACUUUCUGGAGGUAAGCAAUACACAGAUAAAGCAUUUUCCUUCCUGUUCCUGAUUAAAAAGUGCAACAUUUCAACAUAUUUCAACAGGACUACUUUGAAUAUCUGAUCGCAAAUACUGAUGUGACAUUCACAUAGCUUCUAGUACACCAGGCCAUUACAGUCACAGUCCCAAGUAAAACUAACUCAGUAAAGAAGUUCAGGAAUAACUGGGGAUUUGUCAUACCAUUGUGGGCAGACGUUUCAUUCUUCCCAUGAAGGAGUAUAUGAUCCAGAUAUGAGCCAGCCACUAGAAUUAAAAUUAGAAGCCAUUUAAUUAAAGUUAGUGCAGCACUGAACCCAAAUUAUCAAGUCUUCCCAAGAGGCAGCAUAUAUUAACUCAAGGGCAGCGUGAUAAUACAGGUAUGUUCAUCCAGUCAAGUUGACAUGAAAGCUAUCUCUUAAGGCACCAGACCUUCCAGAUGACCGCCUGACAAAGAUGCAAGGCUGAAGAAGUUAAAAGUAAGGUUAUGUCAUCUCUUUUCCUAUACAUUAUCACUAUGAAAAAAGGAAAAAAAAAAAAAAAAAAAAAGAGAGAGAGAAAAAAAAUAGGGAAAUACAGCCCAACACUUACACAGAACACAACUUUUAGUAUUCUGGCCCUGAUACAUUUAGAAAGAUGAUUUUAGACUUAUUGGUCAAGCUAUGCAAAUGGAGAUUAAAGAAGAA